AGAUUGAACGCUGGCGGCGUGCCUAACACAUGCAAGUCGAGCGGUAACAGGUGUAGCAAUACAUGCUGACGAGCGGCGAACGGUGAGUAAUGCUUUGGAAUCUUCCCAGUAGUGGGGAAUAACCAGUCGAAAGAUUGGCUAAUACCGCAUACGUCUGUAAAGGGAAAGCGGGGGCUCGUAAGACCUCGCGCUAUUGGAUGAGCCAAAGUCGGAUUAGCUAGUUGGUGGGUAAUGGCCUACCAAGGCGACAAUCCGUAGC
rnacentral:rRNA from 1 species